rnacentral:misc_RNA from 1 species
GCAAUUGCGAAAAAAAAAAAACAAAGCAACAGGCCACAACCACUGCAAUAAGGCCAGUGUCCAUUACACACAACUUCAAGCACCAUGUAAAUCUGCACACUAAGUAAAGCCCUUCUGUAAGUUACAAGAAAUUCUCAACUUUUGGCUUUCAUUGGGAAGACAUAGAAACUCCAUGCAUUAUUGCCUCUACUAAAGUACAAGUAAACUCAUUGCUACACCAAAAAGGAAAAAGUCAAUAUGUUAUGUUACAUAAUGCAAUUUUAAACAGCCAUUACAUUUCAACCACUGCAUAAUAGGGUUUCCCUAAUCAUACAUAUGACAACCAUAAAAGCCAUUAAAUAACUGUAAUAUUUGUGACAUACUAGCUGUUAUUCAUGAAUGAUAGCUCUAAUUCUUUGGUUAGAAUUCUCCAAGCCAAAUUUGGGGUAAGUCUUUCUAUGUCAUCAAAAAUAUUUAAGGCUUACAAUUAAGCUCAAGGCUACCUAUACAAAAAUCGUAAGCAAAAAACUAAGGCCAAAAUCAUGGUUUUGUAUCUCAUACUGUUUUUCUUUUGCUAAAAACUUAUUAUUAGAAUCCUCAAGUUCAACACAUAUAUAUGGUAUUCCACAUUUCUUUUUCCAUUAAGUUCGAUGCUACUUCCAUUCAGUUGUUGAGGCAUGAUUAUAGAACACAUGCUUCGUGAACAAGUCCCCUAAUUAGUACAAAUACAAUUUCCUAAGCAUACACUAAUUAACAAAUUGCCAUAACACAUUAAAACUAAUAGAUUAGUCGAUGAAAAUUUCAAGACUCAUAAUACGAAGCAAGCUGAUUGCUAGUAUCUCCUUGAUUGUUUAAUCAACAAGAUAACAUCCCCAUGUUCCUGCAUCAUGAUUGCUUGUUGAGAAGACAAAUAUUCAGUCUACAAAGCAUAAUUGCCACUCAAAUAAGCACAAAACAAUGAACAAAAAUAGAAAUCUACAUCCAAGGGGAAAAAGAA